UGACCCAGGAAGUGUUUCUCAUCUCAGUCACACAGCCCUGUGUUGCAGAGGCUUUGUUCAAGGUAUCAGUAAUAGGAGCCCAAAUUCUCCAUCUUGGGGGACCCACUCAGGAUCAAAGGCUGUGCCCCAUGCACAGCAGAUAGAGAAUGUGAAAGGCACAUAUGAGGGACACAAUGAGAAGCCCAAGGCUUCCUGCCUCUCCUUCCUCUAAGCCCACUAGAGAAGAUCUCAGCACCAGGUCUGGGUUCAGCGAACUUUGCAGAAGAAGAGGAAGAAAGAUUCUAAGAGCCAACAGGGAUGGAAAACACCAAGGACAAUGCUUCCCA